CACUGCCCGGUAGCUAAAUGCGGAAGAGAUAAGUGCUGAAAGCAUCUAAGCACGAAACUUGCCCCGAGAUGAGUUCUCCCUGAGACUUUAAGUCUCCUGAAGGAACGUUGAAGACGACGACGUUGAUAGGCCGGGUGUGUAAGCGCAGCGAUGCGUUGAGCUAACCGGUACUAAUGAACCGUGAGGCUUAACCUU
rnacentral:rRNA from 1 species